GUCAGUAAUUUUUUCGAUGCUGCAGUGGUGUAAGUUGUCUUUUGACCUGCGGUGCUUCGGCUAUUCGUAGUAAGGCUACUGUAGUUUGACUGCAUGUUCAUUUGGUCCCUAGCCAUUCGGAUCCUUGCUGUGUAUGUUGACUACAGUAGAUUCAAAUUUACUAUUUGGAGUAGGAUGUAUUUAGAUGGAAUCUAUCGACCAUGAUAGAAAAGUAGUACUAUGCGAUUUGUGAGAUUGAGUUCAGAAAGUCUCUGAUCAGAGCAAGUAUGAAUACUGAAAAAAAAAUUUCGUGGGAUUUACAAAUGAACUUGAGUCAAGCUAAUUUGGUAUAUGACUGAUGAUGGGAUUUAAUAAGUUCUCCAUAACCUCCGUCGAGUUGGGACUUACGAUAGAAGAACUGAAUCACAUG
rnacentral:lncRNA from 1 species